rnacentral:rRNA from 1 species
GGGUAUCACCGGUAAUGCUCCGUCACCUUGUCGGUGGUAAUCUGAGGUAGAAGACGAGCUUAAGACUGGAGGCGCUCGGGAUAUUUUCGUGGGGCGCUCGGGGAGAGUCGGGAGCAGGCUUCGGGAGAUGAAAGCCCUCGAUAGAUGAAGGGGUAGGGCUAGUUAACGAGCAGCCUCAAGCCUUUGAGGCCGCCGGAGAGGUGCGGCGAUGCCCUGCUCCGGCUCGGGCCCUGUAACGGGUUGCCUGAAGGGAGUAGCUGGAGAAGCGGCAGGAGGAAGAUGAACUGCAGUCCCUCGAAGAAGGUGUUGAGGCCGCUGGAAGAAAAGGUUGAGACCGCUGGUUGAGGCUAGAACUGUCUAAUUUCCUACUAUCCCAAUACCAGAUGUGGGUUGCUCGGGUCACCACAACUACCUCAGGAUUGAAUCGCUGAUGCAUAAUAAGGUGACAUAAUACACGGGCGUAACUCGAAAUGGCUACCAUACAUAAACAAAUUAAAACCUACAUAGCAACAUCAUUUUACUACAUACAAAAUGACUACAAGUAAAAACAAUGACACACACGAUCGAUACUAGCUCCCUAUCGUGUCAUUCGUGUCUCUGAACCUAAAUUGGUUUAGGCCCAGCACUGCCCUGGUUUCGUAAUUGUGUAUCACUUAUGUACUUGAGGAGUUUGAUACCAGUAGUGGCUCUUCAUAGGGCUAAUAACAGUGAAGCCCCAACAGCCUAGUAUUGUGUAUUAUCCACUGAUAUCUGAACGUUCUAUCCUAGUUUUUGAGUGUAUAUAAGUACUUUUGUAUUAUCCAAGGCUAGACUUUAGUACCGUGAGGCCGGGAUCACUGUUCGUAAUUCGU